CUCAUCCGCCCCCGUCCACGUUCCCGUUUUCUCUUACACGGGGUUUAACAUCGAUCCUGGGCACGCAUUUCCAAUCUAACGAGCGCAUCUACACGUCUAAACGGCCCCAUCAAACCGAAACAAAUCUUCCUUGGAAUCCUUGCCCGGCGGAUCUCCCGCCGCCCGAACUAGCGGAGAGACACAAAAGCGAAAACCAGCUACAGCGAAACCUAGGACGAUCUCCGUGGAGAUAGAGUAGCGGCGUAAGGGGGGAUGUGAGAGAAGGGGGCAGUGGCGGAUGGUGGCGUGGUGGAUUCGUGUGUAUAGUUUCUCCCGGGGGUUGAAAAUGUGACGACGACCCCGGCCGCCCGAGAUAUUAAACUAUAAAUCCUUAUCCCGCUUCGCGCGGACCACCAGCACCCUCCGGCUCCGUGUGCACGUCGAGAAUCUUGUCCUCUGUCGCCAGGAAUCGCGUUAUGCUGGAUUCACGCGCCCUUUGUCCGCUCACCACGGCCUCCUUCCGACUACCGAACCGCGGUAACGAACUGAUACUUAUGAGCGGGCUGGAUUUAUGUUACAACUGUUCCAGACGAUUUUUCUAAAAAAAGUCGAUUUUUCUAAAUUGUCGAGUUAAUCUGAGACUCGCAAUUGUUCAUUCUUUGUAGUUUUCCUAGCACAUUAAUUUGUUACAUUCAUAACUUGUUAUACUUGUACCGUUCUCUUAAAUAUUUAAAAAAAAAGUUAACCAAUUUUGUAACUUCCUACAAAUGUGUAUCUUGUAGUGUGACGAUAAUCAACGGUAAUAUAAGUAAGAGCAAUUAGAGACAUAUUAUCUGCGUGUACACGCUGAAAAGAGAAAAGGCGAGUGAACGAAGACGGGAAAAUAUAGAGGCUUUUCCCGCGAACCAGUUAACCCUUCCCAUUGAACGCCGUUUUCACGCCAUGCGUAUCCGAACGCUCACCCCAUAACAAGGGUCUUUCUCUUUGUGGAGCAAAGUCGAUGAGGUCGCCAGGUCGGACCUCCUCCGACUUCCUCCUUCCUUCUACAUCGAGUCGUCUCCCUAGCCAAGGUGUAUCGUUACUUCAUGGUGCUUUGAGUCAGUGGCAAGGGGUUGGAGGAGAUCGUACGGGUUGGCGGAGACGUAAGAGGGGUUGCUCUUAGCCGCGUUAAUGCCUUGAGAGGGGAGCGUUAAUUAAUAAUUGCAGGAGGGUGCCACCAGUCCCUCGAGGGAGAGCGAGAGACAGAGAGAGAGAGAGAGAGAGAGAGAGAGAGAGAGAGAGAGAGAGAGAGAGAGAGAGAGAGAGAGAAGAGAAAGAGGAAGACCGAGAGGUGAGAGCCAGAGGACCAUACGUGCAGCUAACAGCAAGUAGAGAUCAUCGAUCGUCGUCAACAAAGUACGUUCACCUUUCUUUCCUCGAGUCGCGUCUUUAUCUCGUUACAAAGUGCAUCCAUCGGUUGGCGCGAAAGGCUCGCCGAUAAUUCGAAGCAAAGUGCAUUCACCCGCGCUGUCGCGUUCUUGCCUUGCCCUUGCAAUUUCAAUAAAUCGCAUUUUUCAAAUUAGUAGAAAAUAUGUAAAUGUAUUCCGAUUUGAAGGGAUAGUUUUGAUUUCCAGAUUGAAGACGAUAAUUGCAAAAAAAAAAACACAUUCUGAAAGAAGUAAAACAUUUAAGAAAAACAGAUGCUAAUAUUAUCAAGAGAGAGACUCGUUAACAUUUUUUUCUAUCUUAGCGAUUAUAAAAUUAUUAAGGAUUCAUUAGAUUCAAUUCAUGAAUCGUUUUCAGACUGGUACGGUAGUAUCGAUAGAAAGUGGAUGCCGACGGGACACCUACUCCCGUAGUUUUCACGCAAAAGGGUUUUGCCCUUUCAGCGAGUCUAGAAUCUAGUGUCGCGAGGUUUGAGGGACCGAAAAUCCGAAGGAGGAGAGAAAGAGGAGGGAGGAGGUCUAGAAAGGACGGGGUUAGCUGUCAGAGAGAUAAAUCGGUCCCGGCUUAAUUAAAUCUUCUUCCGUGCUACCCGCCCGGGCCAGUGCCUGCUUGCCGGACACCAUCCUCGGAGGGUCGAAUUGUUUCGAGGAUAUCAACCCUGAUUUAGGGCCACGCGUAUUCCCCAAGUACACCGCGAGUACUACCUGACCGGUCCUGAUCUUUCAGUAUUUUGCGGAUCCGCGUUUCUCUAUUCGGCGAAAUCUCGCGCCAUCAACUUAAUCGCCAACGCGUUGCUCGAUAUAAAUGUCUCACAAAUAUUAUUAUUGAUUUCGUUAUAUGUAAUAUUUUUGUACUGUGUUAAUAUCGUGCGUGUAAGUGUUACUUCUUCUCAACGGUUUAGUCCAAUACGAAGUAAAGCUAAUAGAUAAAUUUCAUUACCACAAAUGAGAUAAAGUAAUAAUAUUGUCUUAAUGAUGACAUUCCAGAUUGUAAGGUAUUAAAGCACUGAGAGAGAAUUCUGUUAUAUCGAUAAUAUAUGGAUGGAUUUUAAAUUAGUGAUAAAUUUAACCUUUACCGUUUUGCUAUUAUAAUGAAUUCGGCAAGAGACGCCCGUUUUCACGAUUGGAUUGGAUUACAGAUCGUUAUUCUUCGCGAAGACUUUCUCUCUCGCUAAACUGUUAGAUCCGUUACGGUUGGUUUAAUCCGCGUCUAACACCAGCGAAAUGAUGAGACACGGAGAGGCCCUAGUUUCGCCGACAGACAUCUCAAUAACGCGUUGAUCCCGCUCGUUCGUAGGCCUCGUAGGCAGAAGACAGGCAGACAUCCGAGGUGUAGUCCUCCGGCUCUGUGCAUCUAUAUUCUCGCUAUCUCGGCAAUCGCAAGUUACGGAGGUCGGUGAGGCGAAUGUGUCGGAGAGAAAUCCGGAUAGAUAGACGGACGCGGGAAGCACGUCCAGGUAGGAAGAGGACGGAGAGCGCGAGAGCAGUCGGCGGGAGGGAGACCGCGGUAGCGUGAGGCCAAGUCGGAAAGAGAGAGAGAGAAUAGGAAACGGAGUGGAGAAGGUGAGGAGGUGAGCCGAGGGUGGCUGUACGUCGAUAGAGCGGCGCGCCACGGAGGCCAAGAUACGACACCGCCGCCACCGCCAGCAGACCCGUAAAGGGGCGGGGGUUCUCUCUCUCUCCGUGGCGGUAGGCGAGGGGUUAGCGGGGACGCUUGCCUCAGCGGGGUGGGUAGAGACGACGACACAGGAAAAGCGGGGUUUUCGCGUGGGGUGGGGAGGAGAGACGCAGCGCCUCCUCGCUCCUUCGCAACCGUGGGCAAGGAGCAAGCACGACGGAGAGACACUCGGCAAGAUCUUCCUCCCUCCUUCCUCGCUUCGUCGCCUCCUUUUUGCACAGGCGGCGCGCACAGAUGUUACACCGACGGACGUAGAUAAGAGUGCGUCGCGCUGCCGCUCCGCGGUACCGGAUAGAUGGAAUUUUUAAUCGGUCUUCUACGUCCGAUCUUCUUCCGCCCUUGCCGCCGUCGCCGCCGCCGCCGUCACUCGUCACUGACCACGAAGGUGCAAGCAGAAACGAGAUCGAAUUUUGAACACUUGUGUAGAAACUGCACUGCGCAAGAUUAUGUUACGUUAUACAUUAAGGAUAGACGAACUCGUAAGUCGAUUCGACAACAACUCGGAACGACAUAUCCAAGUUUAUAAUCUAUAUAUGUACACGUCUAACACACACAGAGAGAUAUUCUUCGCUGCUUUUAUCUUUCUACUUUUUGCGAUAUUCAAAGAAAGUUUCAUCAACCAAGCUCCUACGUACGUUCUAUUCGUUUGCAAAUAUUUUCCCAAUACUGCGUCGAAUAUAUUAUAAAAUUAUAGGUGAAUGGAAAUUUCAUAAAGGGGUCUGCCCCUUUUUUUUUUUAAUGGAAAAUGCGUAUGACACAUAAUGUACUCUACGCACGGACAGGUGUGCGUAGAAUUACGCGUUGGGUGGGCUAUAUAUGCGUCGCGUAUGUCGCAGAUGGAGUCGGGUAAGCGGGUGAGUAUCGGUAUUCGGUUAAUUAUGGUCCCCCAUCGGGCCUGCAUGAAUUCUUGACGCGGGGGGUGUUGCAACACCCCGUGCCAUGCGCGCCUGUCAUAUCCCCAGCAGCAUUACUGCCAACGUCACGCGCCGAUCGGUACGAUAGGAUCGUACGCUGACGCGAUCAACCUAAUGUAGGAUAACGCCCUUUCCUCCAUAUAUAUGCAUAUAUAUAUAUAGUAUAUAGCAAUCGCUAUAGCUGUACGAAUGAUAAACCUCUGGCAAUCAGCUUAAAAAUAAACGGAGAUUACUGAUCGUUUCUGAUUACUCAAUAAUAAAUAUUGAAGAACCAGUACGUUAAUUGCCAGUUAUCUCUGUUCGGUUAUCCGUAUUCGAUGUUAAAGGAAGAUGUGAAAAGAAGAAACGUAAUUCAAGCAUUAGAACAGAAAGUAUGACAAUUUGAUUUAAAUUUAAAUUGUAUUAUUUAACAAUAUUCACCUCCCUCUAACUUCUGACACUGAGGCCAGAUAUGAGUUCAUCCGUUGAGGCGGUUUUCGUGAAAAAUAUUGCUCGUUUUACAGGCGGUAGAAGCCGAGCCACGUAGGGGAGGGGGGUGGGGGAUUGUAUUUAAUUAAACCUCCAGGGGCUGCCUGAUCGAGCAUCAAUACCCAGCGGUUCUCAGAUCUUUCGAAAAAGCCAGACGUUAAAUAAUCCGCACGUCUGCGCAAGUCAAUACUUUUCAUGUCAAAGACAAAAGUGUAUAAAAGAUGACUGUAAUAUCCAAUUAUAUGCAUAAUUUUGUAAUUAUAAUUAUUAAUUAUUAAUUAAUUUUUGUAAUUAGCACAAAUAUCUCUCUUUUCUAGAAAUUUCACUUCACGUUAAACAAAACCCCGGGUUUCCUCUGUAAACAAAAAUACACGUUUGCGCUUGCUGUAAUUACGUCACAUUGCAUAACCUAAUCAAUUGACAGCUGGGAGUAAUAUUUUGCACGGUAUAAAUUAGGAGCGGGAUCGAUCGGCGAUGUGCAUGCGAGAAACUGCUCGACUACCGAGUAAGCAGAUUGUUUCUUGCAGCAAGAACGUAUCUAAAGCGCAGAAAGUCUACGGAUGCAGCUGCAGCAAGAAAAUUAAUUGCGUCGAGCUGCUGCGGCUGCGAAUUACGGCUGAUGUAAACCAAUUUUCUCGGAACAUUUAUACAGCAGAGAUUUGUUUGAAAUUGGCGCAAAAGCGGCAAAGUUUCAAUAUAAUUGCUUAAUAAUGCGAAUACAAUUUUAAAAAGAGGUACAAAAUUGUUUAUACAACUUUGUAGAAAAUUGUCCAAAGGCAUACGUGUAUUUGUUCAAAGACUUUUUUUUUACGUGCUAACGCGAAAGGAAACGUGACGGAAUUAAGUCGCCAAAAUUCGCUUUCCCCGCGAUAACUCUUUAUCGGAAUUCGUCUGAAUUAAUCGCAUGGCCGCGUGCAGCAUUCGGGAUGAGAACCGAGUAGGAAAAUCCCUGUCGGCGGGAUGUACGGAGGCUUGCGAAGCCUUAUUAGCGAUUUAGGGUGGGCCGCCCCUUGUAUUGGCUCGAAGCGCCCGAUCCUGGGAAUUAAAAAUCACUAAAUUUGAUUACGCAGCGCGCCGCCCGUCGUUUCAUUUCGCGCAGCCCCCACGCGAUUGCGGCGAGGUCUGGCCAAUCAAACCCGAAAGAAACCGUCGAAUUAAAAAGUCACAGUCGUGAAGAAGCGGAUAGGAAGAUUGUCGAAUAACAGACAGGAGUUUCCUGCGAUUUCGAGAAAUUCGAAUAACGAAUCAAUUUCACCGAGGAAAAAGGAAAAAAAAAGGGGAAUUUGUCGCCAUUUAAAUAAGCGACCGCAUUGCGCACACCCGAAAAUAUCGCAAAUCGCUUUGCGGAUUCGUCGGUCCGCAAAAAUCUGCGAAAGUGUCGAUUGGGCGGUUAUUUUUUUCGGUUAAGCUCUCGCGGUUGAAUCCCGGGAUGACUUUCUAGUUAGUCGUAACGGAGCGGUCGGCGGUAGGGCGAAACGAGGCACGUGGGUACAACGCCGCGAAUUUUAUUCAGCCGUGGCGGCUACCUCCGUAGACGCGACGAGAACGUUUCCUCCACAUUACAUUAAUUCCAUGCAUUUAAAUGGUCAUUACCUGCCUUGCAGAACAAAUUGCCGCGGCGCCGUGCAACGGGCGUCUCUGCUUUGCGCUGUCUCUUCUACGGAAUGUAUCGCGCCAAUUUUAAGCAAAACACGACACACAUUUCUCUCUUGAAUUUUUCUUAUUGUGUGCGUGUGUGUGUGUGUGUUUGCCCGACAUUCCCUGAAAACCUGGCGGUGAAAUUAUAUUGUUCACAUAUUAUAGCUCUCCUAAUCGGCUUCAUUGCGGCUCAUCGCGGUGUACGAUAAUUAAGGAUGGCGGGGCUUACGAGAGCUAGAGAUAUUGGAUGGUCCCGUAUUUACACCCUUCAGGGUAUUCGUAUUAACCUCCCUUAAAGCGCGGUGCCCUUGAGUUUGUUGACCAACUAAGUAGGAAGGGCCAAACUUCAGCAUCCCUUAUGUUUGUCAGAGUAAUUCGCAGAUUACCUAUUACAUGGAUAUUAAUUCUAUCUUACAUUGUAACAAAUUGUCACUCAUCUAGUUCAAGGAUUUCCAAAAUCGCAGCUUACUAAUUGCAAGCUAAUUUUUAGGUUGCGAAACUUUUUUCGACUAAUAAGAAUUAAAAAA